rnacentral:rRNA from 1 species
AUUGUUCACAAUGGGCGCAAGCCUGAUGACGCAACGCCGCGUGGGGGAUGAAGGUCUUCGGAUUGUAAACCCCUGUCGAAUGGGACGAAUGGCCUCUGGGCUAAUCACCAGAGGAAUGACGGUACCGUUAAAGGAAGCCACGGCUAACUCUGUGCCAGCAGCCGCGGUAAUACAGAGGUGGCAAGCGUUGUUCGGAAUUACUGGGCGUAAAGGGCGCGUAGGCGGCCAUCUAAGUCAGACGUGAAAUCCCCCGGCUUAACCUGGGAACUGCGUCUGAUACUGGACGGCUUGAGUAUGGGAGAGGGAUGUAGAAUUCCAGGUGUAGCGGUGAAAUGCGUAGAUAUCUGGAGGAAUACCGGUGGCGAAGGCGGCAUCCUGGACCAUUACUGACGCUGAGGCGCGAAAGCUAGGGGAGCAAACGGG